rnacentral:misc_RNA from 1 species
CUCUCUCUCUCUCCCUCUCUCUCAAUCACACGCACGCUCGCGCGCGAAGUGCCAGCUCUGCACCUUUGGGAUUCCAUUCCUGACAAUGUUACUAUUGCACCGAGCUGUGGCCUCCCAGUUUGUCUAUUAUGUCAAAAAUAAAUUUUUGUGCUUGAAAUAUUAUGCUGAACAUUUAUUUUGGCUGGGUUGUCUUGAAUUCUUUUGGAAGCCCUGAUGUCAUGACUCGAGAAGCCUUGAAAAAAGUGAAAUUUAUCUAUAUUAAAAUGGUUGUGUUCUAGUUCGAACAUUAUAUUCAACAUGCUGUGUUCCUCUAUGGAAAAUAUUUUUUGUAGCUUGCUUGCUUUGUGCAUUGUGAAUUAUUUUUUGUCACUGUUCAUGCUAACAUGUGAGCUGGUCAGGUUUUUGGAAUCCAUCUCUAGAUGCUAUAUGACUCAUUUUCUGUCACAAAAUUUUUCACAUCUGAGCCUAACAAGUUAAAAGUUCAAAAUAGGCGCUUCCUCUGGAAAGGCCAG